AAGAGAAGAGUAGCAAUUAGUAAUAAGUCACCAGCAGAAGGAAACAUAGACUUCCAGACCCCCGUCACCACCUUAGCCAGUUAUGGGUGCUGGCUUUUACUCUGUUUCUGGCUGCUAGAAAUUUUCACACUGGGUGACAGAUGAAGGUGAAGCUCUGAUUAACACCCAUGGAAGGAGAGGCUCCUCUUAAGGAUGAACAGAAGCAGCUACAAGCAAGAGCCAACCAAAAAGAGGCAGAUAAAGCUCGUUUUCUCCUUUCAGAGGCCCCUCAGAAUCUACAAGAUGAGGGAAAAGAGAAGGAAGUAAGACUCCAGGGGACAUUGCCAGAAAGAGGGGAGGAUGAAAAUGAGAACUGUUGGGAUGGAAAUGAAUCCCUGAGGCAGAAUCAGGCAGACCAGAGGAGAGACAGAUCUUACAGAUAUCCGAACGGCGAUGCCUCUGAAGACAAAAUGGGGA